AUACGGAGGGUGCGAGCGUUAAUCGGAAUUACUGGGCGUAAAGCGUACGUAGGCGGUUUUCUAAGUCAGAUGUGAAAGCCCCGGACUUAACCUGGGAACUGCAUUUGAUACUGGCAGACUAGAGUAUGAUAGAGGGGGGUAGAAUUCCUGGUGUAGCGGUGAAAUGCGUAGAUAUCAGGAGGAAUACCAGUGGCGAAGGCGGCCCCCUGGAUCAAUACUGACGCUGAGGUACGAAAGCGUGGGGAGCGAACAGGAUUAGAAACCCUAGUAGUCC
rnacentral:rRNA from 1 species